CCUGGCUCAGAUUGAACGCUGGCGGUAUGCUUAACACAUGCAAGUCGAACGGCAGCAUUUUCUAGCUUGCUAGAGAGAUGGCGAGUGGCGAACGGGUGAGUAACGCGUAGGAAUAUGCCUUAAAGUGGGGGGCAACUUGGGGAAACUCAAGCUAAUACCGCAUAAUUUCUUCGGAAAAAAGCUAGGGACCUUCGGGCCUGGCGCUUUAAGAUUAGCCU
rnacentral:rRNA from 1 species